GACGAACGCUGGCGGCGUGCUUAACACAUGCAAGUCGAACGGAAAGGCCCUGCUUUUGUGGGGUGCUCGAGUGGCGAACGGGUGAGUAACACGUGAGUAACCUGCUUUUGACUUUGGGAUAUCUUCAGGAAACUGGGGCUAAUACCGGAUAGGAGCUCCUGCUGCAUGGUGGGGGUUGGAAAGUUUCGGCGGUUGGGGAUGGACUCGCGGCUUAUCAGCUUGUUGGUGGGGUAGUGGCUUACCAAGGCUUUGACGGGUAGCCGGCCUGAGAGGGUGACCGGCCCCAUUGGGACGGAGAUGCGGCCCAGACUCCAACGGGAGGCAGCAGUGGAGAAUAUUGCACAGUGGGCGGAAGCCUGAUGCGGCAACGCCGCGUGCGGGAUGACGGCCUUCGGGUUGUAAACCGCUUUCGCCUGUGACGAAGCGUGAGUGACGGUAAUGGGUAAAGAAGCACCGGCUAACUACGUG
rnacentral:rRNA from 1 species